UUAAACAGAAAAUAACUGAAAUUAAAAAUUAAAUAAAAAUAAUCAAAUUAAAAACGGCUAUUGAGAAAGUAAAAAUGUCAAUAUUAUUAAAAUAGAUUUACAAGUUUUAAUUCCAGUGUUUAUUAUUAAAUUAAAUCAAACAGAAGUAUCGUGGCUUGUUGACCAUCAGUGCGGACCAGACUAGUGCCCAUUCGAGUUCACCUC
rnacentral:lncRNA from 1 species